GACGAACGCUGGCGGCGUGCUUAACACAUGCAAGUCGAACGGAAAGGCCCUGCUUUUGUGGGGUGCUCGAGUGGCGAACGGGUGAGUAACACGUGAGUAACCUGCCCUUGACUUUGGGAUAACUUCAGGAAACUGGGGCUAAUACCGGAUAGGAGCUCCUGCUGCAUGGUGGGGGUUGGAAAGUUUCGGCGGUUGGGGAUGGACUCGCGGCUUAUCAGCUUGUUGGUGGGGUAGUGGCUUACCAAGGCUUUGACGGGUAGCCGGCCUGGGAGGGUGACCGGCCACAUUGGGACUGAGAUACGGCCCAGAAUCCUACGGGAGGCAGCAGUGGGGAAUAUUGCACAAUGGGCGGAAGCCUGAUGCAGCAACGCCGCGUGCGGGAUGACGGCCUUCGGGUUGUAAACCGCUUUCGCCUGUGACGAAGCGUGAGUGACGGUAAUGGGUAAAGAAGCACCGGCUAACUACGUG
rnacentral:rRNA from 1 species